rnacentral:pre_miRNA from 1 species
AUCCUAAGGGCCUGAUGCAAAGUCCAUUGAGUCAAUGAGAGUUUUUCCAUUGACUUCAGUGGGUUUUGAAUCAACCCCUAAAUAU